UACGUGAGGUGCAAGCGUUGUCCGGAAUUAUUGGGCGUAAAGAGCUUGUAGGCGGUUUGUCGCGUCUGCUGUGAAAUUUCGGGGCUCAACCCCGAACUUGCAGUGGGUACGGGCAGACUAGAGUGUGGUAGGGGAGACUGGAAUUCCUGGUGUAGCGGUGAAAUGCGCAGAUAUCAGGAGGAACACCGGUGGCGAAGGCGGGUCUCUGGGCCGAUACUGACGCUGAGGAGCGAAAGCGUGGGGAGCGAUCCGG
rnacentral:rRNA from 1 species